AGGUAAUCUUCUACACUAUAUACACGUUUAUUAUUGCCUAUACAGUGUAGUUUGCGGAAAUGACAUGUAAAGAAUAAGUUGGUUUACAUAUACAGAGUAUAGCCAGCACUAUACCAUUAUAUUGAUCGUAUCACUACUGGGGUUUGUCUAUUUUACACAAAGGUAGUGCUCAUGCUUUAUUUUUUUGCAUUUUACUGCUCUAAAACACUAUGUUCAGUGAUGUGUCAGGAGUAGAACAGUACCCCUUAUGUACAGAUUGUGUGGUUUUAGAAAGUUACCCAGUCAAAUAUAGAGCUUGCAAAUUAAAUUAUUUGGACUUUAUAUAAAUAAGUCAGUCA